AAAACGGCCCUUCUCAGGGCCAAAAUACUCACAUGUUAUGUUUAUCU
rfam:Pediculus humanus corporis strain TSDA 1103172085537, whole genome shotgun sequence.